rnacentral:rRNA from 1 species
UAGAGUGAGGGGAGCGGCGAACGGGUGAGUAACACGUUGGAACCUGCCCCGAACUCAGGGAUAGCCCGCCUAACGGCGGAUUAAUACCGGAUAGUCCCGAAAGGGUAAAGAUUUUUCGGUUCGGGAGGGGCCUGCGGCCUAUCAGCUUGUUGGUGAGGUAAUGGCUUACCAAGGCUAUGACGGGUAGCUGGUCUGAGAGGAUGACCAGUCACAAUGGGACUGAGACACGGCCCAUACUCCUACGGGAGGCAGCAGUAAAGAAUCUUCCACAAUGGGGGAAACCCUGAUGGAGCAAUACCGCGUGAACGAUGAAUGUCGAAAGAUUGUAAAGUUCUUUUCUGGAGGAAUAAUUUUGAAGGUACUCCAGGAAUAAGCACCGGCUAACUCCGUGCCAGCAGCCGCGGUAAUACGGAGGGUGCAAGCGUUAUCCGGAAUCAUUGGGCGUAAAGCGUCCGCAGGCGGUAAAUUAAGUUGGAUAUUAAA